rfam:Aedes albopictus isolate Foshan contig76723, whole genome shotgun sequence.
UGCCCAGCAACUCCUAUCCCUACCUCCCUGUGGUACCGGCUGGAAACAACGAGCAACCUUAGGGAAGAUUGGGUAACUAACCCCAGUGGGAACUUUGGUCGUAGGCUGGCAGGGAAGG